AGCAGCCGCGGUAAUUCCAGCUCCAAUAGCGUAUAUUAAAGUUGUUGCAGUUAAAAAGCUCGUAGUUGAAUUUCGGGAUUGACACAUCGGUCGUGCCUUAAGGGGUAUGAACUGGUGUAGUCAAUUUCUCACCUUCUGGAGAACCGCGAUGCCCUUAAUUGGGUGCCGCGGGGAACCAGGACCUUUACUUUGAAAAAUUAGAGUGUUUAAAGCAGGCAUUUUGCUUGAAUACAUUGGCAUGGAAUAAUAAAAUAGGACGGCAUGAUUCUAUUUUGUUGGUUUCUAGGAUCACCGUAAUGAUUAAUAGGGAUAGUUGGGGGCAUUAGUAUUCAAUUGUCAGAGGUGAAAUUCUUGGAUUUAUUGAAGACUAACUACUGCGAAAGCAUUUGCCAAGGAUGUUUUCAUUAAUCAAGAACGAAAGUUAGGGGAUCGAAGACGAUCAGAUACCGUCGUAGUCUUAACCAUAAACUAUGCCGACUAGGAAUCAGACGAUGUUAAUUUUUAAUGACUCGUUUGGCAC
rnacentral:misc_RNA from 1 species